CUAGGCUCACUCUGGGACCAGUGUGUCUCUCUCUUCCUGCUGCCUGCUUCUCCAGAUAUAGAACUCUCAGCUCCUUCUCCAGCACCAUGUCUACCUGUGUGCCACCUUGCUUCCCUCCAUGAAGAUUGAACUUUUACCUGUCUGGGAAUAUCUACAGCUCAAGAACUACGCUGACAUUGGCAGAAACAGCCUGGAGACAUUUGCAGAGGGGCUGUUGAGUGCAAGGAAAAUGAAUCUAGCAACGCAUGGUCCCAUACAGCCAAUGAGAACCAGCCUGACAACAAUCCCUGCAUGCUCCGGAAAAAGAAUUAGACCACACCUCUCUGACUGCACUGGAUUCAACUCACUCCGUUUCGACUGACACUCCAACCAGAACCUUGAGUACUGACUUCAAUCAAGUUGAGGAUUUCAACCUAGAUCUUCAAUCAAGCAAAUCUCAUCUAACAUGGACUAGAGAUAACUCAUUAGAGACUUUCCCUGUACUGGCAUUUUUCUUUCCACAGAACCCUACAUGGCUACCAUCGUCCC
rnacentral:lncRNA from 1 species